GAUGAACGCUAGCGGCAGGCCUAAUACAUGCAAGUCGAACGGGACUGGGUAGCAAUACCUAGUCUAGUGGCGCACGGGUGCGUAACGCGUAUGCAACCUACCUUCUAUUGGGGGAUAGCCUUCCGAAAGGAAGAUUAAUACCGCAUAAUAUCCUUUGAGGGCAUCUGAAGAGGAUUAAAGCUACGGCGAUAGAAGAUGGGCAUGCGUGACAUUAGCUAGUUGGUUGAGGUAACGGCUCACCAAGGCGACGAUGUCUAGGGGUUCUGAGAGGAUGAUCCCCCACACUGGUACUGAGAUACGGACCAGACUCCUACGGGAGGCAGCAGUAGGGAAUAUUGGGCAAUGGACGCAAGUCUGACCCAGCCAUGCCGCGUGCAGGAUGAAGGCCUUCUGGGUUGUAAACUGCUUUUAUCUAGGAAGAAAAUACUCUUGCGAGAGGAACUGACGUUACCGACAGAAUAAGCACCGGCUAACUUCGUGCCAGCAGCCGCAGUAA
rnacentral:rRNA from 1 species